AUUAUUCAUCGGUGAUUACAUUGUAAAGUGGUAAUGCAUUCGAUUAUUAAUGCAUGUAUAGGUUUUAUACAUAAUCUUGAGCGGCCGUUUCUAAGAGAAUUUUUUUUCUCGCUGUGUAAGUUUUAACGGUUGCCCUGUUUUAAGGAUGGGGUUUUCAAAUAACAAACGAAAAAACCUGGUUGAAUUAGCAGCUUUGCGUGGGUGUACAACCACACCAGAUUCAAAUCCCACUUUUCCCGGUUCAAAACCUGAUUUUUGUGAAACGAGAAGCUGAUGUUGGGUGGCCCGGAAUGAUGAGUAUACGGGUUCAUGAAAUUGUACUUUGAUGGAAUGGAAUGUAUGAUCAUCCUGUUCUACCUAUGGCAGGAGAAACAUGGCAGCUUUUAGAAAUACAGUGCCAUUAAGCAUUUCUAUCUUUUGAAAGAAGUUUUGACAAGCUGUAUUACUAAAUUUUUUGAGAGAAAUUUGAUAAUGGUUAAAUACAUAGUUUAAAAGAUGCUCUUUUGGGACUUCAUUAAGCAUUUCUAUUUUUUGAGAGAA